GACGAACCGAGCGAACGUUGUUCGGAAUCACUGGGCUUAAAGGGCGCGUAGGUGGGUUGGUAAGUCAGUGGUGAAAUCUCCAAGCUUAACUUGGAAACUGCCAUUGAUACUAUCAGUCUGGAAUAUUGUGGAGGUCAGCGGAAUAUGUCAUGUAGCGGUGAAAUGCUUAGAGAUGACAUAGAACACCAAUUGCGAAGGCAGCUGGCUACGCAUAUAUUGACACUGAGGCACGAAAGCGUGGGGAGCAAACAGG
rnacentral:rRNA from 1 species